CGACCAGAGCUGCGGUGCAAUCACAAGGACCGUCUGUUCGGAUUGAUGGAGCCACGGCCCAUUACAUACCUUAUGAACCACGUCUGGGUUCUCCAUGUUCUUCUCCUUGUCUUGAUCUCCCAUUCUUGAUCGGAGUCAGUUACCAAAACGAUCAGAGUCGCCGGAACCAAACACCACCACACUCGGCCUUUCUCUUGACCGUAACUCUCUCUCUCUUUCUCUUUCUC
rnacentral:lncRNA from 1 species